CGGCCAGACUCCUACGGGAGGCAGCAGUGAGGAAUAUUGGUCAAUGGCCGGAAGGCUGAACCAGCCAAGUCGCGUGAGGGAAUAAGGCCCUACGGGUCGUAAACCUCUUUUGUCAGGGAGCAAUUGGCGCUACGUGUAGCGUUAUCGAGAGUACCUGAAGAAAAAGCAUCGGCUAACUCCGUGCCAGCAGCCGCGGUAAUACGGAGGAUGCGAGCGUUAUCCGGAUUUAUUGGGUUUAAAGGGUGCGUAGGCGGAAUGCCAAGUCAGCGGUAAAAGCGGGGGGCUCAACCUCGCUCCGCCGUUGAAACUGGCGUUCUUGAGUGGGCGAGAAGUAUGCGGAAUGCGCGGUGUAGCGGUGAAAUGCAUAGAUAUCGCGCAGAACUCCGAUUGCGAAGGCAGCAUGCCGGCUCCACACUGACGCUGAGGCACGAAAGCGUGGGUAUCGAACAGGAUUAGAUACCCCUGUAC
rnacentral:rRNA from 1 species